rnacentral:lncRNA from 1 species
UUGGCCUCCAAGUUAUCCAAGAACACUAUUCACUCCAGGCAGUUCCAAAUCUGAUAUCUUUCGCCGGAGCCCUCUGAAUAUCCGUUUGAGCUCAAAUUUGACAGUCAUGUUCGGUUUAAUGUACUGAACAAGAAUAUAUUUUAAGUUUUCAGUUUUGACUCCGUUUGGUCACUGAAAACUGUGCCGAACUGCAAUCUUUAUCAGAUAGCUUUCGGAUUUUAUUUCUCACUCUACGGGUGUCAGAAAAAUAUGAAACCUUAAAUCUAGCAUCAUAAAAAUAUUUCUGACAUCCCCGCCAAUUUUCAUAAUUUUCUGAGACUGUUCAUUUUCUGCUAAUUAUCUGUCCCAUUUUCAACAGAAAAUUCUAAAUCUUCUGUUUUCGCUCCGAUUUCAGCACAGGUCAUUCCCAACCUAUAUUUCACUUCUCUAAAUCCAAUAAAAAUAGUAUCUCAUACUAUUUUUAUUUAUUUUCACUUUUAUAUUUAAAAUCCGGUAUGUUACAUUCCGCCGCAACCUCACCGGAGCCAUUUAAAUGUACACCGUAACUUCAUAGUUUUAGAAGUCCGGUACCUUACAAGGUUUUACUCUUUGUUCGAUUGAAUAAAAAAAAGUACUCGUUGCAAUGUUAUACUGUUAGGGCUCAACUGAGAAGUCUAACGUUGUUCCGAUUUUGGUUCUUGUGAACGUUGACAUCGAUUCGUUCCAUAUUUACACUCUUGGGGUAUAAUAGAAAACUUUUACUCCUUGUUCGAUAGAAUAAGAAAAAUUACUCGUUGCAAAGUUAUACUGUUAUGGCGCAACUGAGUAGUCUAAUGUUGUUCCGGUUUUGGUUCUUGUGAACGCUGACAUCGAUUCGUUCUAAAUUUACACUCUUGGGGCAUAAUAGAAAGCUUUUACUCCUUGUUCGAUAGAAUGAGAAAAAGUACUCGUUGCAAAGUUAUACUGUUAUGGCGCAACUGAGUAGUCUAAUUGUCACGCCCCGCCCCAAUCCCGCUACCAAUUUGGCGCGGUUCGGGCGCGGCGGGCGUGAGGCCGAACAGACAGAACCUCCCCUGUCCGCCCUAGGCUCACAACGAGAUUGUGUACAACAAGUCCCCAGGAACAAUCAACUUGUAAACAUACACAAUCAACCACGACGACGAGAGCACAAACAGUGCUAAUACAAGCGAGAGCAAGCGAUACGAGUAAGUAACAUACAAGUAUACAAAAGAGAGAUAAACUUAACUAUUUAAACAUAAAACUUUGAUACAUUAACCUCUUUUAACAUCAUUAAACUUUACCCAUUUAAUACAACUUGCAUUCUUUUUCAAAAUGUAAAUACAUACAUCCUCUCAAACCUCACCCUAUACAUCAUCUACUCUCAAAAUGUAAACAUAGGGUAGGACUAAUGCAAUAUAGGAAGCAAACUAUCAACCAACACCGCUAGGGCGCUACGCCCUUGCCGCGAUCCUCCCGCUCGCCGGGAAUACUCGAACUAGCACCUGCAACAUGGUGGGGUGAGAACUACGAAUAGUUCCCAGUGGGUUCGGCCGCCGACUCCACCGAUCUACCCACUAGGUCUAAGCAGGCAUAGAGAGAUAUAUAUGCAAGUAUAUAUAAAACUAUGCUAAACUGAAGGCAGGUAUGGAAACUGAGCAGGUAGCUAGUGUAAGUAAGUAAGUAAAGUAUGAACAUCUAACUAUGCCUCAAUCUGAUAUCAUGAAUGCAUGAACAAUAAACAAAGCUGGGUAAGAAGCUACUAUCAUGAACAACAAUAAGGCUAUGUAAACAGCUAUGCUGAACAACAGUAAUGAGUAUGACUCGAUAGGUAAUCAAAUCUCAAGGUGAACUCAAGGUUCACUAUCUCAUCUCACNUCGGUCUUGAGUCAAUUAACUGCGGAUAAUCCGCCCUCAGUCAGGCUCGAGGUGAAGGACGUCUCACAUGCACCUCAGUCUUAAAUCCUCUCGACUAUAGGUCUACUCACAGGGUGAGGAUAUCCGUCGAACCCCGGACCACAAGUCGCUCAAUGGACCCACG